rnacentral:misc_RNA from 1 species
GCUCAAUUUACUCAUUUAGGAGAAUAGUUUUUCUUUUUCAUUUGGGAGAGUACGGCUUACUUGUUGUUCAUUAGAACAACACGUAGGGAUGCAGUGCCUUCAUGGUUUGUUUUUCUUCUUUGAAAUUGAUGGCACAUUUUGCUUCUUUCUAAAUGAAAACUUGAUGUUUUUGCUUGAAUAGAAAGGACUAAUUCCAUUUUAAUCAAAUGUGGUUUCACUACAUGUUACAGGACGGAACAACAGUUUUUUCAAUCUACUUGAAACUAUUAGUUCCACUUUUACACAAGAUUAUGAAUAAAGUUUCUGGUAGCAAACUACUUCAAUCAAUUUUGGUUACCAUCAUUGUGAUGUUUCAGAUUUUCCAUUAGAAAACUAUGUGCAGAAUGAUUUAUUAACAAUUAAACAUGCAGAGGCCCCAAACUAUUUUCAGGUUGAACAAUGACUUUCAUUGUUCUCAUGACAUAACUUGAAUUUACACACUCCACUUCACAUUUGACCCUUUUUAAAACUGUAUAGCUGCCCUAUUUGUGUCUGAAAGUUCAAUUUUCAUCAACUCCUC